UCUGCGGGUGCUCUGGAGAGUAAGUGUGGA
rnacentral:piRNA from 1 species